rnacentral:rRNA from 1 species
AUUGAACGCUGGCGGCGUGCUUAACACAUGCAAGUCGAUCGGUAACAGGUGUAGCAAUACAUGCUGACGAGAGGCGGACGGGUGAGGAACGCUUGGGAAUCUGCCCAUCAGCGGGGGACAACCCGGGGAAACCCGGGCUAAUACCGCAUACGCUCUAUGGAGGAAAGCCGGGGACCGCAAGGCCUGGCACUGAUGGAUGAGCCCAAGUCGGAUUAGCUAGUUGGCGGGGUAACGGCCCACCAAGGCGACGAUCCGUAGCUGGUCUGAGAGGACGAUCAGCCACACUGGAACUGAGACACGGUCCAGACUCCUACGGGAGGCAGCAGUGGGGAAUAUUGGACAAUGGGGGAAACCCUGAUCCAGCGACGCCGCGUGGGUGAAGAAGGCCUGCGGGUUGUAAAGCCCUUUCGGUAGGGACGAAAGCUCUCGACCUAACACGUCGGGAGGUUGACUUAACCUACAAAAGAAGCACCGGCUAACUCUGUGCCAGCAGCCGCGGUAAUACAGAGGGUGCGAGCGUUAAUCGGAAUUACUGGGCGUAAAGCGCACGUAGGCGGCUUGGCAUGUCGGGUGUGAAAUCCCCGGGCUCAACCUGGGAACUGCAUCCGAAACUGCCUUGCUAGAGUAUGGGAGAGGGAAGUGGAAUUUCCGGUGUAGCGGUGAAAUGCGUAGAUAUCGGAAGGAACAUCAGUGGCGAAGGCGACUUCCUGGACCAAUACUGUCGCUCAGGUGCGAAAGCGUGGGGAGCAAACAGGAUUAGAUACCCUGGUAGUCCACGCCCUAAACGAUGACAACUGGAUGUC